rnacentral:SRP_RNA from 1 species
GCCAGGUAUGGUGGCGCAUGCCUAUAAUCCCAGUGACUCAGGAGGCUGAGGCAGGAGGAUCACAAGUUCAAAGCCAGCCUCAGCAACUUAGUGAGACCCUAAGCAACUUAGUGAGACCCUGUCUUU